AAGUUUAAGUGAACACCACUAGAGGGUACUCAAUGCACGUGACAUCUAAUGAUAUAUGUAAAAGAAUCACAUACCGUGUACAUGAUUCUUUUAUAUACAUAAACCCAGCAAAUUUUACUGUAAUUAUUUGAUUCAGUAGUAUCUUUCAGCGGUUUGCUCCAUAUGUCUACCGAACUUAUUACUGAUUUCUGACCAUUGUGUGCUUCAUUAAGUUUCAUUAUUGGAGAUGAGUUAUAUAAUGUAUGAGAAGUAAUGAGCUAGAAGAUCUAGAACUACUGAAAUCAUAAUUUGGAGGAAAUAUAACAUUUUCGUUAAUACUUUUACAAUUCAAAUUUUCUUCUGAUACAACAAAAUCAUUACUUUGUACACACGACAGUUGAUUAAAAUUGAAGAUACCAUUUGCCUCGACUGGCUCCUGUUUGUAUAUUUCCUCAACAAACUGUAAAUCAUCAUCAAUAAAAGAUUUCUUGGAUGGCGAAAAGCAUUGAUUCUCCAUUUCUUUCUGCAAUAUUUCCAGUUGGUGACCAGGGUAUAUCUUUAUCAUGCAAAGCAGAAUAAGAGCUAUUAUAUACUACUUUCAAGAAACAAUUUUCAGCUAAUGGUACAUUACUUUGUUUCCUAAUAGAUGUUUCACGAGGUAUUUUAAAUUCACUUUUUUGUGUUAUAUAGUUCUUUUCUUGCAAUGGAUUUUUCAAAAUAACAGACCAAUCUAUGUUCUCUGUUAUAUAUACUUCAUGUGCACCAGUAAAAUUUUUCGCUUCACUAAUAUAUACUUCGUCUUCUGAUU